GGGGGUGGUGGUGUGGGAGAGUUGACCAGGAUCUCGUGUCCCGCCUCCUUCCUCCCUCUGUCCCUCCAUGCUCUUCCUCCCUCUGCAUUUCAUUCUCCUCGUGCCUGGGCGUCAGCCAGCGGGUGGGGUCGUGGAAAGGCAUCUUCUCCACAGUCGUGGAAGAUGAUCUGAACCCUCUGGCGUACGGAUCCAGAAAAACUUCCUCCCAACAAAAUGCUUCCCAAUUUGCAGCCACGCUGUUGACGCUAACAAGUCACACUUGCUGUUCCGAGCUGGGAAUUCCCUUCGUUGUUCCAGUGGGUGUCAGUUUGUCUUUUUAUCGAUGAGCCGUGUUCCACGUGUGGAUAGGAGCCACCUUGUCCACUCACUUGCUGGUGGACCUUCGGCUUGUUUCCAGUUUUCGACUGUGACAAAUAAAGCUGCUGUGAACAUU